UCGGGAAUUUUGGGCAAUGGGCGAAAGCCUGACCCAGCAACGCCGCGUGAAGGAUGAAGUAUUUCGGUAUGUAAACUUCGAAAGAAUAGGAAGAAUAAAUGACGGUACUAUUUAUAAGGUCCGGCUAACUACGUGCCAGCAGCCGCGGUAAUACGUAGGGACCAAGCGUUGUUCGGAUUUACUGGGCGUAAAGGGCGCGUAGGCGGCAAUUCAAGUCAUCUGUGAAAUCUCCGGGCUUAACCUGGGAACUGCGUCUGAUACUGGAGGGCUUGAGUAUGGGAGAGGGAUGUAGAAUUCCAGGUGUAGCGGUGAAAUGCGUAGAUAUCUGGAGGAAUACCGGUGGCGAAGGCGGCAUCCUGGACCAUUACUGACGCUGAGGCGCGAAAGCUAGGGGAGCAAACGGGAUUAGAUACCCAAGUAGUCCCUGAGCGGGCUGGCAAGGCGCAU
rnacentral:rRNA from 1 species